rnacentral:rRNA from 1 species
GACGAACGCUGGCGGCGUGCCUAAUACAUGCAAGUAGAACGCUGAAGGAGGAGCUUGCUCUUCUGGAUGAGUUGCGAACGGGUGAGUAACGCGUAGGUAACCUGCCUGGUAGCGGGGGAUAACUAUUGGAAACGAUAGCUAAUACCGCAUAAGAGUAGAUGUUGCAUGACAUUUGCUUAAAAGGUGCAAUUGCAUCACUACCAGAUGGACCUGCGUUGUAUUAGCUAGUUGGUGGGGUAACGGCUCACCAAGGCGACGAUACAUAGCCGACCUGAGAGGGUGAUCGGCCACACUGGGACUGAGACACGGCCCAGACUCCUACGGGAGGCAGCAGUAGGGAAUCUUCGGCAAUGGACGGAAGUCUGACCGAGCAACGCCGCGUGAGUGAAGAAGGUUUUCGGAUCGUAAAGCUCUGUUGUAAGAGAAGAACGAGUGUGAGAGUGGAAAGUUCACACUGUGACGGUAUCUCACCAGAAAGGGACGGCUAACUACGUG